rnacentral:rRNA from 1 species
GUGACGUAGUUUGACUCCGUGGCUCAGAACGACGCUGGCGGCAUGCCUAACACAUGCAAGUCGAACGAGACUUCGGUCUAGUGGCGGACGGGUGAGUAACGCGUAGGAACCUGCCAAGCAGUGGGGAAUAACAGCUGGAAACGGCUGCUAAUACCGCAUACGCCCUUCGGGGGAAAGAUUUAUCGCUGUUUGAGGGUCCUGCGUUCGAUUAGCUAGUUGGUGAGGUAACGGCCCACCAAGGCGACGAUCGAUAGCUGGUCUGAGAGGAUGAUCAGCCACACUGGGACUGAGACACGGCCCAGACUCCUACGGGAGGCAGCAGUGGGGAAUAUUGGACAAUGGGGGAAACCCUGAUCCAGCAAUGCCGCGUGCGUGAAGAAGGCCUUAGGGUUGUAAAGCGCUUUCACCUGUGAUGAUGAUGACAGUAGCAGGAGAAGAAGCCCCGGCUAACUCCGUG